rnacentral:rRNA from 1 species
UCUGGUUGAUCCUGCCGGACCCCACUGCUAUCGGGUUAAGACUAAGCCAUGCGAGUCGAGCGUCUCUGGCCAUAGUAGAGACGCAGCAUACGGCUCAGUAACACGUGGCUAACCUGCCCUUGAGACGAGGACAACCCCGGAAACCUGGGGCUAAUCGCGAUAGAUGGAAAUGCUUGGAAUGGUUUUCCGUCCAAAAGGUGUUAGGGUCAUGCUUCUUGACAUCGCUCAAGGAUGGGGCCGCGACUGAUCAGGUUGUUGGCGGGGAAAAGGCCCACCAAGCCUAUAACCAGUACGGGCCAUGAUAGUGGUAGCCCGGAGAUGGGCACUGAGAUAAGGGCCCAGGCCCUACGGGGCGCAGCAGGCGCGAAAACUUCGCAAUGCGCGAAAGCGUGACGAGGUUAUCCCGAGUGCCGUCCGCUGAGGAUGGCUUUUYUUUGGUUUAAGGAGCCAGGGGAAUAAGAGGAGGGUAAGUCUGGUGUCAGCCGCCGCGGUAAUACCAGCUUCUCGAGUGGUGGGGGCGAUUAUUGGGCCUAAAGCGUCCGUAGCCCGCUUAUUAAGUCCUCCGUUAAAUCCAACGAUUCAAUCGUUGGACCGCGGAGGAUACUGGCAAGCUAGGGGGCGGAAGAGGCUGGCGGUAUUCCUAGGGUAGGGGUGAAAUCCUAUAAUCCUAGGAGGACCACCAGUGGCGAAGGCGGCCAGCUAGAACGCGCCCGACGGUGAGGGACGAAAGCUGGGGGAGCAAACCGGAUUAGAUACCCGGGUAGUCCCAGCUGUAAACGAUGCAGACUAGGUGUUGAAACGGCUACGAGCCGUUUCAGUGCCGCAGAGAAGUCAUUAAGUCUGCCGCCUGGGGAGUACGGCCGCAAGGCUGAAACUUAAAGGAAUUGGCGGGGGAGCAC